AUUUAAAUAGUUUAUUUAAAAUUUUAACUUGUGGUGUUAAAGAUGCAAUGAAAUUAAAAGUUGCUUU
rnacentral:tRNA from 1 species